AUUGAACGCUGGCGGCAUGCCUUACACAUGCAAGUCGAACGGCAGCACGGAGCUUGCUCUGGUGGCGAGUGGCGAACGGGUGAGUAAUAUAUCGGAACGUACCCUAGAGUGGGGGAUAACGCAGCGAAAGUUACGCUAAUACCGCAUACGAUCUAAGGAUGAAAGUGGGGGAUCGCAAGACCUCAUGCUCGUGGAGCGGCCGAUAUCUGAUUAGCUAGUUGGUAGGGUAAAAGCCUACCAAGGCAUCGAUCAGUAGCUGGUCUGAGAGGACGACCAGCCACACUGGAACUGAGACACGGUCCAGACUCCUACGGGAGGCAGCAGUGGGGAAUUUUGGACAAUGGGCGAAAGCCUGAUCCAGCAAUGCCGCGUGAGUGAAGAAGGCCUUCGGGUUGUAAAGCUCUUUUGUCAGGGAAGAAACGGUGAGAGCUAAUAUCUCUUGCUAAUGACGGUACCUGAAGAAUAAGCACCGGCUAACUACGUGCCAGCAGCCGCGGUAAUACGUAGGGUGCAAGCGUUAAUCGGAAUUACUGGGCGUAAAGCGUGCGCAGGCGGUUUUGUAAGUCUGAUGUGAAAUCCCCGGGCUCAACCUGGGAAUUGCAUUGGAGACUGCAAGGCUAGAAUCUGGCAGAGGGGGGUAGAAUUCCACGUGUAGCAGUGAAAUGCGUAGAUAUGUGGAGGAACACCGAUGGCGAAGGCAGCCCCCUGGGUCAAGAUUGACGCUCAUGCACGAAAGCGUGGGGAGCAAACAGGAUUAGAUACCCUGGUAGUCCACGCCCUAAACGAUGUCUACUAGUUGUCGGGUCUUAAUUGACUUGGUAACGCAGCUAACGCGUGAAGUAGACCGCCUGGGGAGUACGGUCGCAAGAUUAAAACUCAAAGGAAUUGACGGGGACCCGCACAAGCGGUGGAUGAUGUGGAUUAAUUCGAUGCAACGCGAAAAACCUUACCUACCCUUGACAUGGCUGGAAUCCCCGAGAGAUCAGGGAGUGCUCGAAAGAGAACCAGUACACAGGUGCUGCAUGGCUGUCGUCAGCUCGUGUCGUGAGAUGUUGGGUUAAGUCCCGCAACGAGCGCAACCCUUGUCAUUAGUUGCUACGAAAGGGCACUCUAAUGAGACUGCCGGUGACAAACCGGAGGAAGGUGGGGAUGACGUCAAGUCCUCAUGGCCCUUAUGGGUAGGGCUUCACACGUCAUACAAUGGUACAUACAGAGCGCCGCCAACCCGCGAGGGGGAGCUAAUCGCAGAAAGUGUAUCGUAGUCCGGAUUGUAGUCUGCAACUCGACUGCAUGAAGUUGGAAUCGCUAGUAAUCGCGGAUCAGCAUGUCGCGGUGAAUACGUUCCCGGGUCU
rnacentral:rRNA from 1 species